rnacentral:sRNA from 1 species
ACAGGAUAGCCUUCUGCCUGAGCCUUUGUACUGUGACAGCGUCAGCCCCCAGCGUCCGCGCCACUCAGCCCCACCAGGGGUCCCCGCCUCCCACAUCACGUGCCUCUUCCUGGAGCUGACCCGUUGGCUGGGGACCACUCUCUCAUGUGACAGUCUGUGCAGGGCAGGCUGCGUGUCCUCCCGUCCACGCUCCCUCAGCAUGUUCCUUGUGCUGCCGGAUACUGGGAAACUGCAUCCACCACUUUGUCCCCAGCUCCCAGUGUAAAUGCUCUCACCGAACUGUGGUGAGAUGUCAUCCACUUUGUCCCCAGCUCCCCGUGUAAACGCUUUCACCAAACCGUGAUGAGAUGUCACGUCCAUGGCCUUCAUCACCGGCCAGCUUUUUAAUGGCAUUUGAGAAAUGUCCUUCCAUCAUCACAGCUGCAGUGGAGGAUGCCUUUACUCGGUAUCCCAGUAUGUGCAUCCACGGUCCUUGGGUUUGAUGGUCAGAAAAGGGCUUCCCUUCAAAUUGGGCUCCUGUUUUCUGACAGAAUAUGAGAUCCUAUUCUAAUUCUCGUUUUGCCCCAAUUCUUAAGAAGCUUAAGCAAGUACUUAUUAAAACGUUAUCCCAA